UGCUUAUUUUUGCUUACUUUUAUUAUUCACUUUUAUUUUCAUACGUGCAAUGGUAAACAGACACUCAGAAAUAUACCGAAACUACGUCACAAAUUUCAAAAUAUGCCGAAAAUAUACUGACGUAUUAUUUGUAUUCAAGCUGAAUCAAAUUGCUUUCGGUCACUUCCUUUUCAUCAGCGAGCGAGACCGGUCGUGUUUUUUCUUAACAGUCUGAAAAGUGAUUUUUUCCAAGCAACAAAGGCUUAAUUAAAAGUGAUUGUACAAAUUGGAUCAUUGUUUAUUUCAUAGAAAUCUUCAUCAAUAUAUAAAUUAUUCCUCUUUUCAUUUCCCAAAGGAGAGUAUCUGAUCAAUGUGGCUACAGUGCUACGAUCAAAGUUCCGAUCAUCCUUGAGAUGAUUUAACACCAAAAAAAAAAAAAAAAAAAAAAAAAAUUGCUUUCGGUUGAAUACUAGCUAGCAACGACUAUCAGCACUGAACACAUAUUUUUAACCGAUAAUCUAAUCAAUUUUAUAUAAAAGUGGCUAAUUUUAAGUACCAUCUUUAUUGGCAUUGUUUAUAAAAUAAGGUUUCAAUAAAAAAUGUCAACAAUU